AUACGGAUGGUGCGAGCGUUGUUCGGAAUUACUGGGCGUAAAGGGCGCGUAGGCGGCGAUGUAAGUCAAAUGUGAAAGUCCUCGGCUUAACCGGGGAAGUGCAUCUGAAACUGCAUUGCUUGAGUAUGGGAGAGGAAAGUGGAAUUCCCGGUGUAGAGGUGAAAUUCGUAGAGAUCGGGAGGAAUACCGGUGGCGAAGGCGACUUUCUGGACCAAUACUGACGCUGAGGCGCGAAAGCGUGGGGAGCAAACAGGAUUAGAUACCCUUGUAGUCC
rnacentral:rRNA from 1 species